CAGGAUGAACGCUAGCGACAGGCCUAACACAUGCAAGUCGAGGGGCAGCACAAGGAGCAAUCUGAGGUGGCGACCGGCGCACGGGUGAGUAACACGUAUGCAACCUGCCUGUAAGCGGGGAAUAACCCGUUGAAAGACGGACUAAUACCGCAUAAUACUAAAUUACUGCAUGGUAAUUUAUUUAAACAUUUAUGGCUUACAGAUGGGCAUGCGCAUGAUUAGCUAGUUGGAGAGGUAACGGCUCCCCAAGGCAACGAUCAUUAGGGGUUCUGAGAGGAAGGUCCCCCACACUGGUACUGAGACACGGACCAGACUCCUACGGGAGGCAGCAGUGAGGAAUAUUGGUCAAUGGACGAGAGUCUGAACCAGCCAAGUCGCGUGCAGGAAGAAUGUCCUAAUGGAUUGUAAACUGCUUUUGCAGGGGGAAUAAAGUGCAUCACGUGUGAUGUUUUGUAUGUACUCUGCGAAUAAGGAUCGGCUAACUCCGUGCCAGCCGCUGC
rnacentral:rRNA from 1 species